GUCUUCUUGAGUAUAUAAGAAGUCGGACCUGCCCGGUGAAUAAGUAUUUAACGGCCGCGGUAUUUUGACCGUGCAAAGGUAGCAUAAUCAUUAGUCUUUUAAUAGAGGGCUGGAAUGAAGGGUUUGACGAAAUGCUUACUGUCUCAUUUAAUUUGAAAUUUGAAUUUAACUUUUUAGUUAAAAGGCUAAAUUGUUAUUGGAAGACGAGAAGACCCUAUAGAGCUUUAUAUUUUAAAAUUUAAAAAAUUUUUGUUUAAUUAUUAUUUUUUAAAUGGAAAACUAUUUUGUUGGGGUGACAAGAAUAUAUAAUAAACUUUUUUAUUUUUAUAACAUUGAUUUAUGAUUAUUAGAUCCAUUAUUAUUGAUUGAUAGAGAAAGUUACCUUAGGGAUAACAGCGUAAUCUUCCUUCAGAGUUCAAAUUUACAGGAAGGCUUGCGACCUCGAUGUUGGAUUAAGAUAAUAAUUAGGUGUAGCCGCUUAAUUAAUAGGUCUGUUCGACCUUUAAAUUCUU
rnacentral:rRNA from 1 species